CACCGGAGUGUACGUCGAGUCCCCCGGGUCCUGACAGUGCCUGGCUUCCAGGCGGCUCCAACCAGCCAGGGCCGGCUGCACGUAACCAAUUGCUGGAGACAAGGGGAUGCUCCAGCAUCUUUGACUGCAACCAGGAAACUCAAGCAGCUUCCAUGACUCGUCACCCAGGCUGAUGUCACCUAGGCUGAUGUCACCCUGGCUGAUGUGGGCCUCAUGAUUCAGCUGCCUGAGUCACCUACACUUUUAGAGAACUGGAAGGAGCCUGCGAUCACAGGAUGUGACUCAAUAGUCAGCAUGCCAACCCACAAGCCGAUGAACCGAUUUCAUGGCUUCCCGGUGAAAAUCAGCUAGGUGCUGUAGACAUGAACACACAGAUGCUCAAGGUAAGUUAGAAAAAGACGAAUUAGAAUCGCGAAAGUAGAAUAGAAAAAAGAACUGCGCUGCUUCAGUUCUAAACAUUGAGGUCAGAUUUACUGUAAAGCCAGUUUUUUAUUUGUCAAGAGGUCUUUAUGUGUAUGUCUGUGAGUUGUGCACACAGGUACGAGGCGAAGCCUGGUAACUUCUUCGAUCAUUCUCCACAUUACAGAGGCAGGACCUCUCGUUUGAUCUGGAGCUGGCCAAUUCUGGCUAUUGUAGCUAACCAGCUUGCUCCAGGGAUCUCUUGUUUUUGACUCAUGAAUGCUGGGUGAAGAGACUGCCAUGCCUGUGUGGCUUUUAUAUGAGUUCUGGGGAUGCAAACAAUGGUCUAUUUACAGAAAACAAAGGCUCAUAAUUUUUCUUAUUGCCAUUUCUUAGUAUGUAAAUAUGAAAUUAGCAUAUUUAUGGAUUGUAUUGUAUUAGAAUGCUUGAUUUUAGAAACAGCUGUUUGGGAUGCUUGGGGUAGGAAAGAGACAGGAAAAACUUUCUGGGAAUGCAGAAAGGGGAAGAAGCCCCUUGUCCUGGAAUCCCAUUUGCGAUCUUUGUUGUCUGAGAGAGAAUCAAUUUUGACACAGCUUGUAAACUCGAAAUUACCUGCAAAGGGCUGGAGGGAUGGCUCAGUGGUUAAAAGCACUGACUGCACUUCCAGAGGUCCUGAG
rnacentral:sRNA from 1 species